CUUGUUAGACAGGAUUUCUCCCUGACUCCCUCAUUUCUCUCAGCCCAUCAAUUGGCAAGAAGAGCUGCUCUGGAGUUUGAGCUUGAGCUUCUGAAAGAAAAAUGGCGGGCGGUUUAAGAGUCCUAAGUAGGUCACUGAAACAUUACAACCCCACAACCUCUAUAUUUUCAGAGAAUUCACUCUAUCCUCAAUCCAACCAAUGGAUUUACCAAACUCGCCGGACUCUGAUUUUAGAAUCAGCACCGUCACGCACCGUCACCCUCCACCGACUCCCUGACUUUGAUUCCGGAAUUAUUGAGGUUAGGUUGGAGAGGCCGGAGGUGAGAAAUGCAAUUGGGAAAGAUAUGCUGAGAGGUUUACAGAACACCUUUGAAGCUGUCAGUAAGGAUUCUUCUGCUAAUGUUUUGUUGAUCCGCAGCAAAGUUCCCAAGGUGUUCUGUGCUGGAGCAGAUUUAAGGGAACGGAAAAUGAUGAGUGCAUCUGAAGUUCGAGAUUUUGUCAACACGCUGCGUGCCACAUUCUCGUUUUUAGAGGUACUUUCUAUUCCGACAAUUGCUGUCAUUGAAGGAGCAGCAUUGGGUGGUGGACUUGAAAUGGCUUUAUCAUGCGAUCUUCGGAUAUGUGGAGAAGAUGCAGUGAUGGGCUUGCCAGAAACAGGACUUGCUAUCAUUCCUGGUGACAGAUCAACUCUCUUGAUUGCGUCCAUUGACAGGGCAGGUGGAACACAGCGGCUUCCUAGAUUGGUUGGAAAGGCAAUAUCAAAGGAACUCAUAUUCACUGGUAGGAAGAUUGGUGGCAGGGAAGCAGUGUCAAUGGGUUUGGUAAAUUACUGUGUUCCUGCUGGUGAAGCUCAUCUAAAGGCACUUGAAGUUGCUCGCAAUAUAAAUGAGAAGGGUCCAAUAGCAAUAAGGAUGGCAAAAAAAGCUAUUGAUGAAGGACUGGAGGUAGAUAAGACCUCAGCUUUGGCUCUUGAAGAACAUUGCUAUGAAAAGACGUUGAACACAAAUGAUCGCUUGGAAGCCCUAUCAGCAUUUGCUGAGAAGCGAAAGCCAAAGUAUACCGGCGAUUAAGAUGAUAAACUUGCUAUAAUUUGUCUGGAUAAGUUUCUUGGUUGGGCAGAAAUAAACUUGUCAGCAAUGACAAAUUGACAGGAUUGUAUUGGUGCUAUAGAUGGAGUACACGUUGAGGCUUCAAUACCACCUCCGGAUCAAGUUCCAUACAUUAGUAGGAAAGGAAUACUGACUCAAAAUGUUAUGGCUGCAUGUAAUUUUAACAUGCAAUUCACAUUUACUUGUGCUGGAUGGGAACGCAUUGCACAUGAUACAAGGGUUUUUCUAUCCAUGCUACGGAAUCUAAAUUUAAACUUUUCUAAGCCUCCAAAUAGCAAUAUUCAUACUUGCUUUGUAUUAUUAUAACAUUUUACGUACUUGCUUUGUAUAAUUACUACAAUACAAAACAAAAUUUGCAAUUGUCAAGAAAAUAUUAUUUGGUAGAUGCAGGGUACCCACAAAUGAGAGGUCAUUUGGGGCCAUAUAAAGGUGAAAGAUAUCAUCUCCCAGAUUUUCAUAGGGGUGCCGAACCAACGAGUUAUAAAGAGGUAUUCAACCACAUGCAUUCUUCUCUUAGGAGCAUCAUUGAACGAACAUUUGGAGUAUGGAAGAAAAGAUGGGCAAUUUUAAGGGA